GGAAAUAUUCCUCUUAUCCUCCUCUAUCUUUACCCCUAAGAAUUGGAGCAAACCGUUGAGUAUUUUAUCCGAAUCGAACUCGUUUUUGAGUUUAUCUCCAAAACCGAGUUUUUGAUUUCCCGGAUCGAUUUCUUGCGGGAGGAGUCCGAUCUCUUCAAUCCAAGGCUAUAAAUAGGACCCCCUAGUCCUCCUCUUUCGUUUGCCCUCUUUCCCGUGCUCUCUCGUGCUCCGUAGCCUCGUCGCCGCGUCGCGCAAGCCGCCGUCGUCGCCGGUCAACGUGCAGCCGCGCUGCGCCGUCGCCCUAGCCGUCGCCGCUGCCUCCUCUCGCCGCCGGCGGGUGCGCGUGACCGAGGGCUAGCCCGGCCGCCCCUUCCCCGUCGUCGCCGGCCACCGGAGCUCCUCCGCCGCCGGUCAACCGAGCCGCCGCCGUCGCCCCUCUCGUCGCCGGUCGUCGUCCAACGUCGUUUGUCGUUGUGGUGAGUACCGUUGGGUUCGUCUCGUCGUCCUCUACGUGUACAUGCCCUCCUUUUUCCCGGCCGACCACCCUAGCUCCGGCGAGGUCGCCAUCCGAGCCGGUCGCCAUGGAUGAUGUCAGCAUGACAUCAUCAUCUUCUCCUUUUCCAGUUUUUUCUAAUAGAUUAAAUCUUCGGAAAAUCAUAACUAAAUAACUGUAGAUCCGAUUCGAGUGGUUCAAGUUGCUAAAUUUUUCUAAAAUCAAGAUCUAUAUGUUAAAAAUAUUCACAUGUACUGUUUAUGCUUGUUUUUGUACUGUUUUGUUGAUUUUUAUUCUUUCGCUUUAGUUUCCGACGUUCUGGAGGAGAGCGUUUUCGUUGAGCAAGGUUCGGAAGUGUUUGCGGAAGCCCAAGGCAAGUCACACAGAUCCCAAACAACCCUUUGAGCAUGUUGAACCCAUUUAAAGCUAUUAUUUUAUUUCAACUAUGCAUUAUUUUUGAAUGUCAUCGGGUGGUGAACCUUUCCCCGUUAAUUAAUGGCCGAAGAUGAUCUUAUUUUCCUAUGGGUUAUAAUUUGAUUAGCAUGAACCUUAUAUAUUGGAUUGGUUCAGCUAAAUGCUAUAUGUAAGUUUGCUUAGCUAUGCUUAGAAACAUUAGCUAAUUAAAGGGGAUUAAAUAUAAAUUAUAUUAUAUUAUUCUUAUUAAUUAUGGUUAUAUUUAAUGGUAGCUCAUGAUGAUUAAUCGUGUGAUGUUAAUUAAUUGAUAAUUAAAAUCUGGUUAAGGUGGGUUGUGAGCAUAUGGUUUUGAUAGUUGUGCUCAUGGCAAUUAAGGACCGGCUCGCGAGCUACUGUUGUGAAACAUUUACCGUGCCAACCACAAGCCAGGAUGGGCAACGGCUUUAUCUUUUGUAUAGCGUGAUUCAUUAUAGUGCGCCAGACUGAGAAGUGGCAAGAAGUCCACGGGGGUCGCUGGGGAGUCCAUGCCUUGUUUAUAAGGGGGUGAUUAUGAUCCAGGAACGGUGCACUGUUUUGAGUUGUGUUGUGCAAAGGGUAUUGUCACGAUUUCCCCCUUUGCAAUGCCGUGGUGGUAUUUCGGGGCAUGGCAACAUGUGCGAAAUCGUGUCUUGUAGGUACAGUGGUACACCUCUGGCCAGAGUAAAACUAUUCGAAUAGCCGUGCCCGUGGUUAUGGGCGGGUUGAGCAAUGUUUUUCGUGAUUAGUUUCACACUACUCAUCAAUGUUAAUAAUGUGAUAAUUAAUUUGACUCCUAGUAUGGAAUGGAUAAUUCCUAGUUUGGAGGUUUGAUCUGUACGACCGGGGUUGGUUGUUCAGGUUUGGUUGGGCCUGAGCAGCAUGGGUGUGCUGUUCAGUGUUGAUUAAAAUUGAUGAUUAAUUACUCUACUGUUUUACUUAUCUUAAAUCUUUGCUAAAUGCUGCUUUUGCAAAUGAGCCUAUAUUAUGCCAUCCUUUGGAAUCCUUGUGCACUUGCAUAUUUGCUGUGUGGCUUGUUGAGUAUGUCAUAUGCUCAUUCUUGCAAUAAUCAUCAAACCUCAGUUGAAGAUAAAGGAUCCAGAAGGGAAGACGUUUGGCUUAUACCCCAGUUGAGCUGCCUGUGGGAGUGGAGCUGAAGCCAUCGCUAGACCGUUAAUUCCGCUGCUGUUUUCUUUUCUUUGUAAGUAUGUAACGUUAUUAUUAAGAUGGAUUUGUAUAUUAAAUUGUCAGUUUGUGUACCUCGGCUGAUUCCUGGACGAGGAUUUUAUGCACAAAUUAGUUCGGAAAUUACUAGUGAAUUUCCGGGCGUGACAUUUAUUAAAUUCUGAAAUGUUUAUUAAAUGCUGUUUAUGCAAAUGAAACCCUACUAUGCCAUCCUUUGUUAUCCUGUGCACUUGCAUAUUUGCUGCGUGGCUUGCUGAGUAUGUCAUAUACUCACCUUGCAAUCAUUCAUCAGAGGAAGAGUUCUACAGUGAUGCUGAUGGUGUGAAGGAUUAGGUGUAGCCCUGGUCAAGCUGCCUGUGGAGUGGAGCCGUCUGCGCCGUUUAUCUUAUUUUUUUCCGCUGCUUAGAUCUUUAUUGAUUGAGAGGAACUAUCUACCUCUGUAAUGACAUUUUAUUCGCUUAUUAAUUAGAGUAAUAAUUGUACUCUAUUAUCAA
rnacentral:lncRNA from 1 species